rnacentral:rRNA from 1 species
AUGCUUGACGGGGUCACCAUAUUGCGGUUCGAGAAGGUCAAGGAUGAGAUCGUCCUCGACGGCAACGACAUCGAGCUCGUCUCCCGCUCUGCCGCCCUCAUCAACCAGUACGCUACUUUGGCCACCUUGCUGUUUGUUGAGCGUUGUGCUGCAUGUUUAGAUGCUAGUGCACACCCCAUUAUUGGUCAUUUGAUUCAGAAUGGCAGUCUUAUCUGGAGGAUGCCCGAGCUGACCAGGAGGACACCCUUCUGCACCUCGUCCAUCACACAAGGCCGUCCUUCUAUUUUUUCCGCUGUUUGUUCUUGUCCUACUUGUGUUUCAGUUCCAUUGGCUCCUACUGCAAACAGGUCUAUAACAGGUUAA